rnacentral:pre_miRNA from 1 species
UGUUAAAAUUUCAUUCAUUUCUAUUAUUAAAACUAGUCUUGUACGUCAAUAAAAAGUAUACAUAUAUAUGUAACUGUUUGAUUAUUCCUCAACUACAUCAAAUUUUAACAAUAAAAAUGGAUGGAAGUUUUAACA